AAGCGUAAUAGCUCACUGGUCGAGUCGGUCUGCGCGGAAGAUGUAACGGGGCUAAACUAUGCACCGAAGCUGCGGAUUCAAACUUUGUUUGAGUGGUAGGGGAGCGUUCUGUAAGCCGUUGAAGGUGAACCGGGAGGUUUGCUGGAGGUAUCAGAAGUGCGAAUGCUGACAUGAGUAACGAUAAUGCGGGUGAAAAACCCGCACGCCGGAAGACCAAGGGUUCCUAUCCCAUGUUAAUCAGGGUAGGGUAAGUCGACCCCUAAGGC
rnacentral:rRNA from 1 species